CGAUACGGGACUCAUCCGAGGCCCCGUAAUCGGAAUGAGAACACUUUAAAUCCUUUAGCGAGGAUCCAUUGGAGGGCAAGUCUGGUGCCAGCAGCCGCGGUAAUUCCAGCUCCAAUAGCGUAUAUUAAAGUUGUUGCGGUUAAAAAGCUCGUAGUUGAAUCUGUGUGCCACGCUGUCGGUUCAUCGCUCGCGAUGUUUAACUGACAUGAUUGUGGGACGUCCUACCGGUGGACUUAGCCUUUCGGGGCGGUCCAGCUAAUAUCCCAUCGCGGUGCUCUUCAUCGAGUGUCGAGGUGGGCCGGUACGUUUACUUUGAACAAAUUAGAGUGCUCAAAGCAGGCUAUGCUCGCCUGAAUACUGUGUGCAUGGAAUAAUGGAAUAGGACCUCGGUUCUAUUUUGUUGGUUUUCGGAACCCCGAGGUAAUGAUUAAUAGGGACAGAUGGGGGCAUUCGUAUUGCGACGUUAGAGGUGAAAUUCUUGGAUCGUCGCAAGACGGACAGAAGCGAAAGCAUUUGCCAAAAAUGUUUUCAUUAAUCAAGAACGAAAGUUAGAGGUUCGAAGGCGAUCAGAUACCGCCCUAGUUCUAACCAUAAACGAUGCCAGCUAGCGAUCCGCCGAUGUUCCUCCGAUGACUCGGCGGGCAGCUUCCGGGAAACCAAAGCUUUUGGGUUCCGGGGGAAGUAUGGUUGCAAAGCUGAAACUUAAAGGAAUUGACGGAAGGGCACCACCAGGAGUG
rnacentral:rRNA from 2 species